rnacentral:rRNA from 1 species
CAGCCGCCGCGGGAAAACGGAGGGGGCUAGCGUUGUUCGGAAUUACUGGGCGUAAAGCGCACGUAGGCGGUUUGUCGCGUCGAAUGUGAAAACCCGGGGCUCAACCCCGGGCUUGCAUUCGAUACGGGCAGACUAGAGUUCGGUAGGGGAGUCUGGAAUUCCUGGUGUAGCGGUGAAAUGCGCAGAUAUCAGGAGGAACACCGGUGGCGAAGGCGGGACUCUGGGCCGAUACUGACGCUGAGGAGCGAAAGCGUGGGGAGCAAACAGGAUUAGAUACCCCCGUAGUCCCUGUCUCUUAUAC